rnacentral:rRNA from 1 species
GACAGAGGGGGCAAGCGUUGUCCGGAGUGACUGGGCGUACAGCGCGCGCAGGCGGGUCGCGACGUGCCGUGUAACAGCGCACUGCUCACCAGUGCGUAGCCAUGGUAGACGCGCGGUCUGGAGGCCGUGAGAGGGAUGUGGAAUACCCAGUGGAGCAGUGAAAUGCGUAGAGAUGUGGAGGAACACCGAUGGCGAAGGCAGCCCCCUGGGUCAAGAUUGACGCUCAUGCACGAAAGCGUGGGGAGCAAACAGG